UUUUAGCCCCGAUUGCAAUGGAAAUCCUUUUUACCUCUUUUUUAAGAGAGAAAAAGAUUGUAAUGUAAAGCGGGAUUAGCU
rnacentral:sRNA from 1 species